UACGGAGGAUCCAAGCGUUAUCCGGAUUUAUUGGGUUUAAAGGGUGCGUAGGCGGAUUUGUAAGUCAGUGGUGAAAUCCUGCAGCUUAACUGUAGAACUGCCAUUGAUACUGCUGAUCUUGAGUAUAGUUGAGGUAGGCGGAAUGAGUAGUGUAGCGGUGAAAUGCUUAGAUAUUACUCAGAACACCGAUUGCGAAGGCAGCUUGCCAAGCUAUUACUGACGCUGAUGCACGAAAGCGUGGGGAUCGAACAGG
rnacentral:rRNA from 1 species